rnacentral:rRNA from 1 species
CUUACCAGGUCAAGACAUGGGCGUGAUUGACAGGCUAAUGACUUUUCUCGAUUCCAUGGAUGGUGGUGCAUGGUCGCACUUAGUUGGUGCAGUGAUUUGUCAGGUUUAUUCCGGUAACGAACGAGACCUCGGCCUUGUAAAUAGCUAUGCUGCUUACAGGGACAUUGGCGGCUACGCCAAGGAAGCUCGAGGCAAUUGCAGAUCUGGAACGCCCUUAGAUGUCCUGGGUCGCACGCGUGCUGCAAUGACGCCACGAACGAGCUUGCGUGAUGAAAGUUACGCAUAAUCAGCAGUCGGCGUCUUAAGGGAUAGUCUCUUGUAACUGUGGGACUCCAACUAGGAAUGUCUCGUAAGCACAAGUCAACAUCUUGUGUUGAUUACGUCCCUGCUCUUGGUACACACCGCCCGUCGCUCCUACCGAUCGCGUCUUUUUUAAUUUGAUGGACGUAAGGAAGUCAAAUAAACCUGAGCACUAGAGAGAGAGCGACAGGAACUAACUG